rnacentral:rRNA from 1 species
UACGAAGGGGGCUAGCGUUGCUCGGAAUCACUGGGCGUAAAGCGCACGUAGGCGGCUUCUUAAGUCAGGGGUGAAAUCCUGGAGCUCAACUCCAGAACUGCCUUUGAUACUGAGAAGCUUGAGUUCGGGAGAGGUGAGUGGAACUGCGAGUGUAGAGGUGAAAUUCGUAGAUAUUCGCAAGAACACCAGUGGCGAAGGCGGCUCACUGGCCCGAUACUGACGCUGAGGUGCGAAAGCGUGGGGAGCAAACAGGG